GACGAACGCUGGCGGCGUGCCUAAUACAUGCAAGUUGAGCGCUGAAGGUUGGUACUUGUACCAACUGGAUGAGCAGCGAACGGGUGAGUAACGCGUGGGGAAUCUGCCUUUGAGCGGGGGACAACAUUUGGAAACGAAUGCUAAUACCGCAUAAAAACUUUAAACACAAGUUUUAAGUUUGAAAGAUGCAAUUGCAUCACUCAAAGAUGAUCCCGCGUUGUAUUAGCUAGUUGGUGAGGUAAAGGCUCACCAAGGCGAUGAUACAUAGCCGACCUGAGAGGGUGAUCGGCCACAUUGGGACUGAGACACGGCCCAAACUCCGACGGGAGGCAGCAGUAGGGAAUCUUCGGCAAUGGACGAAAGUCUGACCGAGCAACGCCGCGUGAGUGAAGAAGGUUUUCGGAUCGUAAAACUCUGUUGGUAGAGAAGAACGUUGGUGAGAGUGGAAAGCUCAUCAAGUGACGGUAACUACCCAGAAAGGGACGGCUAACUACGUG
rnacentral:rRNA from 1 species